UACAGAGGUCCCAAGCGUUGUUCGGAUUCACUGGGCGUAAAGGAUGCGUAGGUGGUGAGGUAAGUCGGAUGUGAAAUCUCCGGGCUCAACCCGGAAAUGGCAUUGGAAACUACCUUGCUGGAGGGUUUGAGGGGGGAUUGGAAUACUUGGUGUAGCAGUGAAAUGCGUAGAUAUCAAGUGGAACACCAGUGGCGAAGGCGAAUCCCUGGAAAACACCUGACACUGAGGCACGAAAGCUAGGGGAGCAAACAGG
rnacentral:rRNA from 1 species